UACAGAGGGUGCGAGCGUUAAUCGGAGUUACUGGGCGUAAAGGGCGCGUAGGCGGUUUAAUAAGAUUGAUGUGAAAUCCCUGGGCUUAACCUAGGAACUGCAUCGAUGACUGUUAAGCUAGAGUAUUGUAGAGGGUAGUAGAAUUUCCGGUGUAGCGGUGAAAUGCGUAGAGAUCGGAAGGAAUACCAGUGGCGAAGGCGGCUACCUGGACAAAUACUGACGCUGAGGCGCGAGAGCGUGGGGAGCAAACAGG
rnacentral:rRNA from 1 species